UUGGAGGGCAAGUCUGGUGCCAGCAGCCGCGGUAAUUCCAGCUCCAAUAGCGUAUAUUAAAGUUGUUGCAGUUAAAAAGCUCGUAGUUGAAUUUCGGGGUUAGUAGGUUGGUCACGCCUCUGGUAUGUACUGGUCUCACUGAUUCCUCCUUCCUUAUGAACCGUAAUGCCAUUAAUUUGGUGUUGCGGGGAAUUUGGACUGUUACUUUGAAAAAAUUAGAGUGUUUAAAGCAGGCUAACGCUUGAAUACAUUAGCAUGGAAUAAUGAAAUAGGACGUUCGAUCUUAUUUUGUUGGUUUCUAGGAUUGACGUAAUGAUUAAUAGGGAUAGUUGGGGGCAUUAGUAUUCAAUUGUCAGAGGUGAAAUUCUUGGAUUUAUUGAAGACUAACUACUGCGAAAGCAUUGCCAAGGAUGUUUUCAUUAAUCAAGAACGAAAGUUAGGGGAUCGAAGACGAUCAGAUACCGUCGUAGUCUUAACCAUAAACUAUGCCGACUAGGGAUCGGAUGAUGUUAAUUUUUUAAUGACUCAUUCGGCGCCUUACGGGAAAC
rnacentral:rRNA from 1 species